rnacentral:rRNA from 1 species
UACGAAGGGGGCUAGCGUUGCUCGGAAUUACUGGGCGUAAAGGGCGCGUAGGCGGACAUUUUAAGUCGGGGGGUGAAAGCCCAGGGCUCAACCCUGGAAUAGCCUUCGAUACUGGAUGUCUUGAGUUCGGGAGAGGUGAGUGGAACUCCGGAUGUGUAGAGGUGAAAUUCGUAUGAUAUUCGGAAGAACGACCAGUGGCGAAGGCGACUCACUGGACACGGUAUUGACGCUGAGGUGCGGAAAGCGUGGGGAGCAAACAGGGGAUUAGCAA